AAUAAAAGAACGGCCGGGUACAACCUGUCGUGCAAGCUAGCAGCUGAGGGAGGGAAAGACUCGCCGGCCCGCGCUCUUACCUGCUCUCCACGUCGCCCGGGAAGACCGCCGCGUCCCUUUCCCUCCCUCAGGGCCGCGGACGAGCUGCCGCCGCCGCCGCCGUUGGCCGGGCGUCCGGAGGGAGCCGGGGCCUCCCCGCAGCCCGAGCCGCUCCACAGGGAGAGGAGGAGACAAAACAGAGGCGCGCCGCCCCGCGCAGCGCCCCCAGCCCGCACUGCCCCAGCGACCCCCCAACCGCCGAGGCGACGGCGGCGACACAGAGCCCGGCGCGGGCAGCACUGGUGGCCCCCGGCCCGGCUCCCGGCCCCCUCCCUCCACCCGCGCCUCGGCUCCUCCCCCUCGGCCUCCUGCCGCCGCCACCAGGACACUCGAGUCCGCCUCCCCCACCCCGCCCGCUCGGAGCGCUCCUCCCCUCCUCGCGCGGCGGCGGCGGCGGCGGCGGCGGCGGGGCGGCGGGAGGGGGGGCGGCACCGCCAGUCACCGCAGCGCCUGUCAAACCCGGGCCGGCUAUUUAUACCCCGCGGGGCCAGCUGCCCUCGGCCCCCGCUGGCCAGCCGGACCUACCUCGUGCUGCUGCUGCCUCGAAUCCCGCCCUCCCCGUUUCGCCCAACUUCUCCCAAACCCGCUUCUCAGGUAAAGACGCUCGCCACUUGUCCGGUUCCCUGCUCGGCGGCUUCCCCCAUCGCACACUCCGCUCGGGCCCGGACUGGGACGAGGGCUGUGCCAGGAAGGGGCUCCGCCUCGCGGGGCAGGCGCGUGGGGACGACGGAGCCGCGCGUGCACCUGCAGCGCCCACCCGCCCGCUCCUCCCGGCCGGCCGAGACCGCACGCACGCACACACACCCUCGCCACUCUGCGGCCCCCCGCGGGCCCGAGCUGUCAGCCCGUCCCCAGCUCCGGACUCCUGCGCCUCUCCUCAGGGGACUGCUCCGCAUUCGGGCAGGCUGACAGUAACCGGGAGGCUGAGGGUUGCAAAAACUCCCGGCCCAGGUCCCGCCGGUCCCCACUCCUCAGCCUCGGCUAAGUACGGGGUAGGGGGCGCGGGCGGGCAGGAGCGCGACGCCAGCCCCGCCCUGGCCGGUGACGCACGUGGCGCGCCGCCCCGCCAGCCUCGCGCUCCUCGGCGCCGCCCGCUCCUCCUCCCGGCUCACAAACGCCCGGCCUCGUACACUCGCGGACCCCGCCCCAUUCCCAGAAAUUACCGCCCGCCCAACGGCCCGGCCGCGCGGCGGUUGGUGCCCACGUUUGCCGGGCGGCCGGCGGGCGGCGGGGCCCAGCGCGCAGCUGCGGAACGCGGCGGGCGGCCCCUCGGCGCUGCCCCGGGAGCCCCGGCCGCCCGUACCGCGCGCCUUUGUCGCUCCUCGCCGUGUCAGCGACGGAGAAGUAACUCAAGUCCGAGUCCUGCCCGCGCAAGAACGAGGGAGAGUGUUGGUGAAAGGGUGUUUUUGGUCCAAGCGCUUAGGAAUUCGAAAACGAAAACCCAGCAGUCGCCGCACGCUCCUGGUUUCCACAGUUUCACACAAAGGGGAACCUCUGAGCGGGGCUCGCUCACGCGCCUUCAAGUGCACAAAAGCCAAUGA
rnacentral:lncRNA from 1 species